rnacentral:rRNA from 1 species
GACGAACGCUGGCGGCGCGCUUAACACAUGCAAGUCGAGCGAAGCGCCGGACGGGUGAGUAACACGUGAGUAACCUUCCUUAGACAUUGGGAUAGCCUCUGGAAACCGGGAUUAAUACCAAAUGGUCUAAGAUGGACUCGUGUCCCAUUAGCUAGUUGGUGGGUAACGGCCCACCACGGCGACGGUGGGUGGCCGGGAGGGGAGGGGGAACGGCCACAUUGGAACUGAGAAACGGUCCAAACUCUACGGGAGGCAGCAGUGGGGAAUAUUGCACAAUGGAGGGAACUCUGAUGAAGCGACGCCGCGUGAACGAAGAAGGCGGUCGAGUCGUAAAGUUCUUUUAUAUGGGAAGCGGUACCAGAAGAAAAAGCCCCGGCUAACUACGUGCCAGCAGCCGCGGUAAUAC